GACGAACGCUGGCGGCGUGCUUAACACAUGCAAGUCGAACGAUGAACCCGGAGCUUGCUCCGGUGGAUUAGUGGCGAACGGGUGAGUAACACGUGAGUAACCUGCCCUUGACUCUGGGAUAACUGCGGGAAACUGUAGCUAAUACCGGAUACGACCCUCGGCGGCAUUGCCAGGGGGUGGAAAGAAUUUCGGUAAAGGAUGGACUCGCGGCCUAGCAGCUAGUUGGUGAGGUAACGGCUCACCAAGGCGACGACGGGUAGCCGGCCUGAGAGGGUGAGCGGCCACACUGGGACUGAGACACGGCCCAGACUCCUACGGGAGGCAGCAGUGGGGAAUAUUGCACCAUGGGCGCAAGCCUGAUGCAGCAACGCCGCGUGAGGGAUGACGGCCUUCGGGUUGUAAACCUCUUUUAGUAGGGACGAAGCGAAAGUGACGGUACCUGCAGAAAAAGCACCGGCUAACUACGUGCCAGCCGCCGCCGUAA
rnacentral:rRNA from 1 species